rnacentral:rRNA from 1 species
GACGAAGGGGGCUAGCGUUGUUCGGAAUUACUGGGCGUAAAGCGCGUGUAGGCGGUUGUUCAAGUCCGGUGUGAAAGCCUUGAGCUCAACUCAAGAAAUGCACUUGAUACUGGAUGACUAGAGGACCGGAGAGGAUAGUGGAAUUCCCAGUGUAGUGGUGAAAUACGUAGAGAUUGGGAAGAACACCAGUGGCGAAGGCGGCGCUCUGGACCGAGACUGACGCUGAGGCGCGAAAGCGUGGGGAGCAAACAGG